ensembl:lncRNA
GGCCCACACUCCUCUUCCAUGACCCAGCUCUGAGGCCGUUAAAUCACGUAGGCCUAACUCAUCGAGAGUGUCUAUCGGAGGAGGGCUCUGAGAUCCAGCAGGGUUCACGCCGGGGUUUCGGGGACGCUGUCUCCUCUCCGCCGCUGGCCCAGAGUCAGCUCUGUGUCCAAGGCGUUUUGAAUUAAAGUCCGCUGCUAUCCCGUGUGUGGGAACCCGAGCUCGCAGCCAAUUGCAAUACUUCCCGGAAUAUAUUUCUGCAGAUUCUAGGCUGAUGACGUACUGUCCAUCCUGAUUGUGAAACGCCGUUUGAUGAUUCCAGAUCACAUGUUUCAUGAAAGUCUACGUCAUAUGAGAUAUUCUGUUAUGUUAACUUAUUGCUAUAUUAAGUUAAGCUAGUUUGUCAGACUGUAGGUCAACAUUUUAAUCAGAGAGGUAAGAGGAACCAGCUCUGAUCCUCAGGACUCCAGCGCCCCAUCUCCGGUCUCCUUCAGCAGGGUCCCGACCAGGGGAGCAUCAUCGCCUGAGUCACCAAGUGGGCUAGGGCGUCUGCUGGGACUCCAACGGGCUCCUCCUCCCUUACCCAGAAUGCACCGCAGCGUCCCAGACUUCUGGGCCGUGCUCGCUCAUGGCGAGAUAGCCAGGGAGCUACAAAGAGGGCUGUUGGGGGAGCAUGCUGGAAGCCCCAGGCUAGGAGGAGACGCUCUUGGUGGAGUCCAGUGCAGUGGGCGGCUCAAGGAGCCAGCCCCUGGCCUGCUGAUUGGCUGGCUUCCCUCUGAGACCUCUUAUUACGGGUUAGCCUGAUAACGAAGCGAACAAGCAGGAGAUACAUCAAGGCUGACGCAUGGCAAGCUCCCAAACUGGAGAGAGGAGCGCUCACCAAAAAUAACCAGAGUGAGGAGGACAGAUAGGAUCUUCUGUGUUUCAUUACGUUUGUGUGCAUACAUUUUUACAGGAUCAAACAUUCAGAAUCAGAGGAAUGGAUUCUCAGAAGUCGGUUGUGUUUUCUGUUAUUUAUAUGGCGUGAAAUAAACACAAUGAUACAUUUAGCUUAAAGCUACAUUUAGCAUAAGAAUGCAUUCAGCAUUAGCCUAUUCACAGUGG